UGUUCUAGAAUCGGCACCGAGGACAACACCUCCAUUGUAGGUUACUCCAAUGAUGGUCGUUCCCAUCGAAUGAGGAGCAUCUAGAUGAAGAUCCAUUGAAGUAAAUCUGGCAUAAAAAAACCGAGAAGUGGAGAACCAGGGUAGAUUCUGGUCUCUGAAGUUGAUUCCUCCUCGAUUGGGGCCGCGGCAACACUGUCGGACACGAAGAAGAUGAAGAGACC